GUGACUCGCGCCUUAUCGCCGCGAUAACGCGUCGUCCGGCCGCCCGGACGUGUGAUACCCAUAGUCUCUCGCCGGGACCUCGCCAGCAACGUUAGCCUACGAAGAUGGGCCUGACCUCGUGCAGGAUUUGCUGCUGCUCCUGCGACUGCUACGAACCACCUCCUCCCCCUCCUCCACACUUCGCCGCGCCUCCACCACACUUCGGCCCGCCUCCUCCACACUUUGGACCUCCUCCUCCGCACGGACCCCCGCCCCCGCAUUUCGGACCGCCUCACCACGGUCCUCCGCCUCCUUACUGAGAGACCAAUGAAGAAGCCAAUGUUCAUCGUUCUUUCUUCGUGACAACAUAUGUUCCUAAAACUUUAAUGGAUUCUAUUAAUGCUGUUAAAUAGACACAUUAUCUAGCUGUAAGUCUAAGAUCCACUACAGAGAUAGGCUAUAAUUUUGGUGGCUUGUAUAUUAUUACAAUAAUUUAGAGAAAAAAAAUUUUUUUUCAAUCGUUUAUGUAUUUUUUUUUGUGAAACAUUAUGUCUAUUGAUGAAAGAGAAAUAAUGUGAUCGGCCGACAUACGUUAUGAUUCAAAUGCGGUCGUGAUUGCCAACUAUUACAUCCUGCUCACUCGGAAACUGUUUACACGCAGUCUGACGAGUUACAGUCUUUUAAAAAACAAUAAUUAUCGAAAAUGGUUUACAUUAAAAUUUGUCUCAAUUUGUUUGCAAGCGAGCAUACUACACGACCGCCAACAGUGAUGUUUGAGCUUGGAAGUAGUUUUGAUCAAAAAUUUAUGAGUGCGUGUGUUUUUGUGAGCGUGCAUGUUUUAUUUGUUUUCAGUUAAACAAUUGAUAUCAAAGCCUUUACUCUAACAGCCUUUAAUGCGCCACGCAAAAUAUGUUAAGAAUAUACUAUUUAAAUUUUAUAAAGUUUAAAUCAUGUGUUUUUUAAUUUGUUCUUGGUACACUGUAAUACCUAUUUCAUGAUACAUCUUGAGAGUGCAAACUAAUUAAAAACUUGCACGCCAAGCUAUGCAAAAGGAGACACAACAUGGCCACAAAAAUUAUGCGUGGCAAUUCAAAGAAAGUUUUUCUUCGUGUAAUGGAGCCGACCAAUAGACAUCGUAGUUUUCAGUUGUAAUAUAUAUAUAUAUAUAUAUAAUUUUUUUUCAGUUUAAUGAUA